AAUCCAUAGGUUAAUGAGGCGAACCGGGGGAACUGAAACAUCUAAGUACCCCGAGGAAAAGAAAUCAACCGAGAUUCCCCCAGUAGCGGCGAGCGAACGGGGAGGAGCCCAGAGCCUGAAUCAGCAUGUGUGUUAGUGGAAGCGUCUGGAAAGGCGCGCGAUACAGGGUGAGAGCCCCGUACACAAAAGCGCACGUGCUGUGAGCUCGAUGAGUAGGGCGGGACACGUGGUAUCCUGUCUGAAUAUGGGGGGACCAUCCUCCAAGGCUAAAUACUCCUGACUGACCGAUAGUGAACCAGUACCGUGAGGGAAAGGCGAAAAGAACCCCGGCGAGGGGAGUGAAACAGAACCUGAAACCGUGUACGUACAAGCAGUGGGAGCCCCACCACUAAGCCAGUGGUGAACUCCACAUACGCAUCCUUUGCUGAGGAUACGGUUA
rnacentral:rRNA from 2 species